UUUUUUUUAUUUAUUUAUUAAUAUAUUAAUAUAAUAAAAUAUUAAUAUAUUAACUUAUUUAUUUUUGAGUUUUGCAUAGCUGUAAGUACGUAUAGUGUGAAAUAAUAUAAAAAUUGUGAUCGAAAUUAGUUAUAAUAAAUUGGAGUUCAAAAUUAAUGACAAGUGUAAAUAAAUGCUGUCUCUGUCACUCACAUGUACACGAGCAUGCGCACUCGGAUACAUUCAACGGUCAGGUAGCUUGCAGCUGCUAUGUUGUGUCCUGUUCUACCACAUAGACUUCGGACGCUCUACUUUCUCUCUCGCACCUAUCAGAUGGCUAAAACUCUAAAAGUUUUUAGCUAGGCAAUAGUGCUUUAAGUAUGAUUUUUUGCAGGCAAGUCUAUAUGACUGAUUUUGUAAUAAAAUAAUCUAAAAUUUGUUAUAACUUUCGAUAAGUUAGCAGAACGAUGGAGUCACCUAUAUUGACUUACCUGUUCACAUUGGCUUGCCAGCUUGACAGCUCAACCUACAGAGGAGAUAACACCCACACGCGGGAAAAUUAAAAAAAAAACAAAUAAAAGAAAGCAUAGAAAUCUUUAUGAAAAAGUUAACAAAUUGUAUAUAAUGUAAAUAUUCAAUCUAAAUAAUUUGUGUAUGACAUGAGCACUUAAGGCAUGCUCAUUUGGAUUUUCCAAACUUUUUUUACAAUACGGUUGACAAUAAUCCGCAUAACGACGAAAAUAAAUAUUUUUACGCAACUUAAAACUGUCACUGAAAAUUAAAGAACAAGUAACAUUAAAGUUUUUUGGUUGAAAUGUCGACAUAGAUUUGGAAAAAGUACUUUCUGCUGUACAGGGUUGUCACCAACAUCUUCAAUAUUUUUAGCAUAUAAUAAUAUUGCCGUGUAGAGAAAAAGUCAAAUGAAGAAUCCUACAAAAAACAAUGUCAAAAAAAUUUUAAGUUAUAGGCUUUAAAAGACAUAGUUGGUAAUUACAAUAAUAUUUUCAUUACCUUUGAGGAAACAAUUGUUAAUAAUUAUGAAGUAUGAAGUAAUGAAUG